rnacentral:lncRNA from 1 species
CAACUGGAUGACAGGAGGUGGAUAUGCUGGUCCCUGAGGCACAGGCAGUAUGAACCUCUGCAUGGAGCUGGGUCUCAGCAGAAGCCCACCCAAGCCUGGAGUUUCCCAGCCAGGGAUGCACCUUUUUCAUCCCAGCAGCCUCUGUCCCUCAGUCCUGAGCCCUCAGGGGCCCUCAGGGCAUGAAAGCAGGAAUCCCAAAUCCACCUUCCAGAAUUACACGGGCUGUUCUUGGUGGUCAGGUGGCCUCUCGGGGCCAGGGUCCUUUUUAAGACUGGAACCUCUCCAAGCUCACCAGCACUCUCAGUGCACGCACGCACGCACACACACACACACACACACACCAGGAUUUUAAACUCAGUCCAACAAAUCUCAGCAUGCACCAGAACUAUUUCAGCAUUUUAAGAGCCUGUAUUGAUUUUGGAAGGAGCCAGGCAGCGUGUGAAGGCCAUUCUGUCUGGGAUCCUAUGCUGAGUCUGGGGUCUCUGUAUGAGGGAUUAUCCAUGUGUGGGGAGCCUUCCCCCUUCAGAGCUUUCCAGCUUCCCUCUGAUCACAUGUCCUGAGCACACUAUCCCAAACCUAACCCCAGCUGGGCUCUAGCAAGAGACGAGGUCCUGUCUUGCUGGGAAAGGGUCAUCCUUCCCACCCGGAGGCCCCUGCUCUGCCCCAGUUUCCUGCCACAAAGCCCAGACAGUCCUGGGAACCUGGGCUGGUGAGUCCCUCCAUCACCUUCAGAAACAGCCAUGAGGAGCUGGCAGUGGGAUGGCCUGGGGGUAGGAGCGUGGCUUCUGGAGCUAGACCACAUGGGUUCAGAUCCCAGCGGUGCCUCUAACUGGCCACAGGACCUUGGGCAGUCAGCUGACCCUGCCCAGUCCCAGCAUCCUCAUCUGGUCUUAGCUAACAGGGACACACCUGAGGAGGUGGUCUUCAUGUCACUUCCACUGGGACCAGUUUUCAGAGCAGCUGCAGGGGUCAUCAGUUAAGGCAGUACAGCCCACUUACAGAGGAGGCGGGUGGCUUGGGGUGUGAAGGACGUGCCCAGGUGACAUGCUGCUGAGUGGCCCCAACCCCAUCCAGGCACCAAGCCAGAGCCUGUCCCCAGGGACCCCAGGGCACAUCAGCAGAAGCUGGAGGAUGUGGGUCUCCUGGGCCUGGAAUCUCAGAGCCCACAUUGGUUAAUUUCACACGUCCGCUUGACUGGCACACAGGGGGCCUGGAUGUUUGGCCAGACAUUAUGCUGGGUGUGUGUCAGGGG